CGGAGGGUGCAAGCGUUGUCCGGAUUUAUUGGGUUUAAAGGGUGCGUAGGCGGCCUUAUAAGUCAGUGGUGAAAGCCCACAGCUCAACUGUGGAACUGCCAUUGAUACUGUAAGGCUUGAGUACAGACGAGGUAGGCGGAAUUGAUGGUGUAGCGGUGAAAUGCAUAGAUACCAUCAAGAACACCGAUUGCGUAGGCAGCUUACUAGGCUGUAACUGACGCUGAGGCACGAAAGCGUGGGGAGCGAACAGGAUUAGAUACCCUGGUAGUCCACGCUGUAAACGAUGAUUACUCGAUGUUGGCGAUAAACAGUCAGCGUCUUAGCGAAAGCGUUAAGUAAUCCACCUGGGGAGUACGCCCGCAAGGGUG
rnacentral:rRNA from 1 species